GACAGACUUACCUCUCCACCUCAUGCCAACUACACUUAUUCAGUUGAGACUAGCAUUCUAGCUGGUGUCGACAUGGUUAUGGUCCCAUAUAAUUUUACCGAGUUUAUCAAUGAUCUGACUUACCUCGUCAAGAACAAUUUUAUCCCAACGGAUCGGAUUGAUGAUGCAGUGGAGAGGAUUUUGUCAGUUAAAUUUACCAUGGGACUUUUUGAGAACCCCUACACUGAUUUCAGCCUGAUCAACGAGGUUGGCAGCCAGGAACACAGGAACUUAGCAAGAGAAGCUGUGCGGAAAUCUCUUGUGCUGCUGAAAAAUGGGAAAACUGCUAAUAACCCAUUGUUACCUCUUCCUAAGAAAGUGUCUAGAAUUUUGGUUGCUGGUAGCCAUGCUGAUAACUUAGGUUAUCAGUGUGGCGGAUGGACUAUUACUUGGCAGGGGU
rnacentral:misc_RNA from 1 species